rnacentral:rRNA from 1 species
GACGAAGGGGGCUAGCGUUGUUCGGAAUUACUGGGCGUAAAGCGUGUGUAGGUGGUUGUCAUAGUCAGGUGUGAAAGCCUUGAGCUCAACUCAAGAAAUGCACUUGAUACUGGGCAGCUAGAGGACCGGAGAGGAUAGUGGAAUUCCCAGUGUAGUGGUGAAAUACGUAGAGAUUGGGAAGAACACCAGUGGCGAAGGCGGCUAUCUGGACGGUUUCUGACGCUAAGACGCGAAAGCGUGGGGAGCAAACAGG